GACGAACGCUGGCGGCGUGCUUAACACAUGCAAGUCGAACGCUGACGCACCAGCUAGCUGGUGUGGAUGAGUGGAGAACGGGUGAGUAAUACGUGAGUAACCUGCCCUUGACUCUGGGAUAAGCUCGGGAAACUGGGUCUAAUACUGGAUGCUACAUGUCACCGCAUGGUGGUGUGUGGAAAGGGUUUACUGGUCUUGGGUGUGCUCACGGCCUAUGCGCUUGUUGGUGAGGUAAUGGUGAACCAAGACGACGACGAGGAGCCGGCGUGAGAGGGUGAGCAGCAACACUGAGACUGAGACACGGCCCAGACUCCGACGGGAGGCAGCAGUGGGAGAGAGUGAACAAUGGGCGAAGGCCUGAUGCAGCGACGCCGCGGCAGGGAGGACGGCCUUCGGGUUGGAAACCUCAUGCAGCAGGGAAGAAGCCACAAGUGACGGUACCUGCAGAAGAAGCGCCGGCUAACUACGUG
rnacentral:rRNA from 1 species